CGGCGAGUGAAGCGGCAACAGCUCAAAUUUGAAAUCUGGCCUCGGCCCGAGUUGUAAUUUGCAGAGGAUGCUUCUGGCGCGGUGCCUUCCGAGUUCCCUGGAACGGGACGCCACAGAGGGUGAGAGCCCCGUAUGGUCGGACACCAAGCCUGUGUGAAGCUCCUUCGACGAGUCGAGUAGUUUGGGAAUGCUGCUCUAAAUGGGAGGUAAAUCUCUUCUAAAGCUAAAUACCGGCCAGAGACCGAUAGCGCACAAGUAGAGUGAUCGAAAGAUGAAAAGCACCUUGAAAAGGGGGUUAAAUAGUACGUGAAAUUGUUGAAAGGGAAGCACUUGUGACCAGACUUGGGCCGGGCGGCUCAUCAGGGGUUCUCCCCUGUGCACUCCGCCCGGCACAGGCCAGCAUCGGUUCUCGUGGGGGGACAAGACCGUCAGGAACGUAGCACCCUCCGGGGUGUGUUAUAGCCUGGCGGACGAUACCCCCGUGGGGACCGAGGUUCGCGCUCCGCAAGGAUGC
rnacentral:rRNA from 1 species